UUAAAAAGUGCUUGGUAAAAUAAGAUAAAAGUAGUUUAUUUUAAGAAUUUAAGUGAUGAAAAUUUCAACUUUUAAUUUUUACGGGAAGCUAAAACAUUGGUUGGUAUAGUAAAUUAUUUACUUGGACCAAUUGCUCUCAUUCUAAUUAGAAAAUUCUUAUUUUACCAACUUUAAUUUUGGGAUUUUCUUUUUCGAUCUCAAACCAACAUCUCUUCUGUUUCACGAUAUCUUGGUGCACUCUCACCAGACGGCAGCCAUCACUCCUCUCCUCUGCUCUUCUUCUCCGUCGCCAGCCAUAUCAAGGUUUAUAUAUCUCUCUUUCUCUUAACUUUUAUGUUGAAUGUCAUUUCCAUUCUUUUUCGAAUUUAAUUUCUUUUUCACUCUAUUGAAUCCGUUUUUUUCCCUCUUUUCUUUAUCUAUUAUUUUUAUUUUAUCUUUCUUUUCUUUUCCUGUUAUAUAUCAUUGAAGUGGUUGUCUUGCUUGCUAUUAGUUGUCGUUUAUGCUUUAUUUGCUUCCUCUAUGGUUUGUCGUUACUGAUCUAUUUGUAUUGUAAGCUGUUUGACGUGGGCUACAAUCCAUAGACCAGUUCCAUCAUUUAUAAGGACUGUUUAUAGAAUUCUUUACAUACUUACCCUAUAUAUAUGAUAUAUGCAAUAAAUAUACAUAUAUAUAUAUAUGUAUAUUGUUGAGAUGAUUUAUCUUCAAGCAUUGGGACCAUGUGUGGUAUGGUUUCUUGUUGAGCUUUAAAUAGCAUAUAAUAAAUUAUUCAUCUACUUUGCACAUGGCAUAUACAUAUAAGUCAUAUACAUAUACACUACAAGAAAAAAUGCUUUUAAUAACACUGAAAAUGUGUUAUCAAAACAUACGAUAACACUUUCUGAUGUGUUAAGACCGACUAUGUUAUCGUAGGUCAGGGUACUUUACAUAACACUUUAUCAGUGUUAUACAGAUGUGUUAUUGUACUGUCAACGAUAACACAAUUUCUGUGUUAUUUUAAUAUAUAGAUAAGUGUUUAAUUAUGUUAUUUAUAGUCGAUUAUAUAGCACUUUUUUUGUGUUAUACUACACUUUAGUAUAACACUUUUUUUGUGUUAUAUUACACUUUAGUAUAACACAUGUGUUAUAUUAGAUUAGAGAAACAUCAUCUUUUUUUACUUACACAAAACUAGGAAAACAAAUAUGAAAGUUGAAGCCAGAUAAAGUAACAUAAAUAGAUUUUUAUUAAUUACUCAAAUGUAAUUACAAUAUUUAGUGUACUAGUCUAGGCUUAAGAAAUCAUAUUACAACAUAAUUUAUGCCCAAUUCAGAUUCCUUUAUCACUAAAUACAAAACAAGAAAUGUAUACAAAAAUUAGUGAAAUACAUUCUUCCAUUCUAAAGGCCUCUACUACAAAUGUUGUCAAGAAUUGCUCCAAAGAAAUCAUCACAAUAUACCUGCACAUUGUAAAAAAAAAGUCCUUUUAUUAUUAAGAAAUAAAUACCGUGAACAAGAACAAAUAAUGAAAUAACAACAAGAAAUGAUCAAAAGACAAGAGGAAAUGAUAUUACAAUUUAUGGAACAGAUGAAAGGACAGCAUAGUGGCUUUGGAGGAUCUUCUCAUGCGUCAGUGCCAAACUAUGGAUCUCCCAUAGAUCAGGCGACACCAUCUCAUUAGGCAUCACCAAAAUCCCAGCAUCAACCUCUAGCACCACCGCCCCCACACCUAAAAGAGGCAUCUAUGUUUAUCCCUAUACCUGGCUCAAAUCAGGAUAAAAUGAUUGAAUGCAAAUUUGCAUUAGGGUCUAUCACCAACAUCGUUUGUAGGAGAUACAUUCUAUUUACUAGUAGCACAUACAUACAUGGAGAAGACGUAGGAGAAAACUACUUGAGUUUGCUAACAAACUGAUGUUCUACUUGUUAAUCCGAUCCAUAUCAGUGAGAUUUAUACAAUCAGACAAGCUAUUGGGACUUUGAUACGUUGGCCCAAGUCGCUAGGCAUCUUCAAUGGAGCGACACAGGAGGUCGUGAAAAAUAUAGGAUAGCAAGCUGGGGAAAAAACUUCUCUACCAUUAGCACCACAAACACAAAAACUAGUUCUAAAACGAGCACCUAAGGCGUCAUUGUCACAAGAGGUUCAACAACCAUCUCCAUUGUCACCUAAGUUGAGACAAGUAAAUGAAAUCGUCAAUGAUUGGCCUAAACAUGAUUAUGUUGAUGAAGUAUCCAUUGAAUUUGAUGUGUUUGGCCAUGCUUGUGAGUACUUUACUCUAUUUCGGAAUGAAAUACUUGAAUUUUUUAGAAAAGAGAUGAUUGGACAAUCAUGCAUUGUCUUCUACAUAAGGUUUGCUUUAUAUGAAGUUAAUAAUAUUUAUUGUAAGGAUUUUCUUUCAUCAAUUAUGUAGUUUUCUUUUAAAUUAAUGAUAUUUGUUAGAAGGAUUUUGUACCAGACACUAUUAUUAGACGAGGAUAAGAGAGGAACAUUGUUGUUUAUGAAUCCGAAUAAAGUUUCUACUUCCGUGACUCGUGCAGAUAGUCGUGCUUAAGCUUUAUGUGAUAAGAUGUUAUACUACACGUCUAAAAGGCAUGAUUGGAUAGUAAUGCCUUAUAACCAUGGGUAAGUUUAAUUAAUAUGCUUUUCAUUGAUACAAAAAAAUAGAAUCUAAAGUUAAAAACUUUGUAAUACUUGUUCUUUCAACAAGGAACAUUGGAUGUUAUUUUUAUUAUAUCCCAAUUGGCAUUAUUGUUGUUUUCUCGAUCAUCUCAAUGCCCCAUUAGAUAACAG